UAAUGUGGUAGUUUCUGUAUUUGGCAGAUCUGUAAUUGUAUCAGAGCGGCCUUAAACUACCACAGAGAUCAGAAAGGAGAAGGCUGAGCUGAGAACUCUUUCAAGCUUUUUGGUUUUCAGCUUUUUGUUCAGCUCCUACAGAA
rnacentral:snoRNA from 1 species